rnacentral:rRNA from 1 species
UGACGUCAGGUCCUCAUGGCCCUUACAUCCCGGGCUACACACGUGCUACAAUGGCAGGUACAGAGGGCUGCGAAGCCGCGAGGUGGAGCGAAUCCCAGAAAAACCUGUCUCAGUCCGGAUUGAAGUCUGCAACUCGACUUCAUGAAGGCGGAAUCGCUAGUAACCGCGAAUCAGCAGGUCGCGGUGAAUACGUUCCCGGGCCUU